rnacentral:rRNA from 1 species
CUACGGGAGGCAGCAGUGGGGAAUAUUGGACAAUGGGCGCAAGCCUGAUCCAGCAAUACCGCGUGUGUGAAGAAGGCCUGCGGGUUGUAAAGCACUUUCAAUUGUGAAGAAAAGCGAGAGGUUAAUAGCCUUUUGUCUUGACGUUAACUUUAGAAGAAGCACCGGCUAACUCUGUGCCAGCAGCCGCGGUAAUACAGAGGGUGCGAGCGUUAAUCGGAAUUACUGGGCGUAAAGCGUGCGUAGGCGGUUUAGUAAGUCAGAUGUGAAAGCCCUGGGCUCAACCUGGGAACUGCAUUUGAAACUGGUGAACUAGAGUGUGGUAGAGGGGAGUGGAAUUCCGGGUGUAGCGGUGAAAUGCGUAGAUAUCCGGAGGAACACCAGUGGCGAAGGCGACUUCCUGGACCAACACUGACGCUGAGGUACGAAAGCGUGGGUAGCAAACAGGAUUAGAUACCCCAGUAGUC